rnacentral:tRNA from 1 species
GUCUUCCUCGACGAGGAGCGUCACGACUUCGCCGGUCGUCGUGGCGAGGUUGUCGACGUGUGAUCGUGCGACGCGGUAGGCC